UGUCCCUUGGUUAAACUAAUAAAUGCCCGAAAAAUAAUGACUCUCUCUCUCCAAGCUGCAGAAGGAGGACACCGACAACGGACGGUCCGUCUCAGGAUCUCUGGAGCAUCGGAGGAUCUGGCUCUCUACUGCCGAAGCAGGAGAUCAACAGAUCUGGGCCGACAGCAAAGCCUCCACUGGGGCCUUUGGUGGAUGACAGGAGUCAGUACCAAGGAAAAAGAAGUCAAGCCUCAGAGUCUACUGCCCUCAUGCGACGGAAAGUGAGUGAGAGCAGCGAGCCUGUGACCGUUGGUGAUGCCAGGCAAGAGGCCUCCAUCUGGGAGCCGAGCAAUCGCCAGUCUCGGUGAGGUAAGUGUCUGGUUUGGUGAGGACUCUGCUCACGCCCCACCUGAGUCCGGGUAGGGAAGCCCCGUAAAUUAGGGUUCGGUUUGUAAGAAAAGGUUCCUGAUCAGCUGUGGUUACGAGGGAGAAAAGGUCCCAUUUUCAGAGGCUGCUCGUUUCUCUGGUCAGGAACGGUGUCUCCUCCGCAGCAGAAGGUUGGAUCCAAGAGGAUGACUCCAGGUGGUGAGUGGCUUGCCCUGCUCUCAUGUUUCUCUGUCUUCUCUCGUGUGUUCGCCAACUCUCUCUCUCUCUUCUCUCCUCUUCUCUCCUCGUGCCGUGUCCCUUCACAGGACACGGGUAGGUGUGCAUUCCCACAGGUGAGGUCUCGGGAGCCAUGGAGAAGUC